rnacentral:rRNA from 1 species
CCAUGCCGCGUGAAGGAUGACGGCCCUCUGGGUUGUAAACUUCUUUUGUACGGGAAUAACCCUCCGAACGUGUUCGGAUCUGAAGGUACCGUACGAAUAAGGAUCGGCUAACUCCGUGCCAGCAGCCGCGGUAAUA